rnacentral:tRNA from 1 species
GUAAAAGUAAUUUAAAUAAAAUAUUGAAUUGUGAUUUCAAAAAUACUAUAUAGUCUUUUACC